rnacentral:rRNA from 1 species
UACGUAGGGUGCGAGCGUUGUCCGGAAUUAUUGGGCGUAAAGAGCUCGUAGGCGGCCUGUCGCGUCUGCUGUGAAAACCCGAGGCUCAACCUCGGGCCUGCAGUGGGUACGGGCAGACUAGAGUGCGGUAGGGGAGAAUGGAAUGUAUCAUGUAGCGGUGAAAUGCUUAGAUAUGAUACAGAACACCAAUUGCGAAGGCAGGUGACUAAACCGUAACUGACGCUGAGGCACGAAAGCGUGGGGAUCAAACAGG